CUUUACUACUGCUGCGGAAAAGAGGACAACACUCCACAUUUCUGGCAUUGUAAAUGACAACACCGCAACUGAAAGCAAGCUUGAAUUUCUGGGAGUAGCAUUAGGAUACAGGACCCCUGCUGAGCUCACCAGUUCCUUGCUCUACACAGCUGCUUUCUCAGCUGGGGUUUUGAAAUAAGCACUGUGAGAAAAGACAGAAAUGACCAUGAUGCAUCUUUCUCACUAUGAGAAAAAGGUACCAUGUGAAGGCCUGGGCAUAUAACAUGAAACAAGAAAGAUAAGGCCCGUGCUUACAUAGAACUUGGUGAAGAAUCUAGACCAUAACAAGCACACAGAGAAAACGUAUCACAAAUUGUGCUAAAGUUCUGUAAAGGGAUUAAGAUGAAGUGUCACAAGACUGAAUUAGACAGAGUGCCCUUGAAAGAGUGCCAAUUUUUAGAAUGGAGGGUGUAGAUCCAUCCUUUGCAACUGGUGAGGACCUCCUCAGUAAGGCACUGAGCCAGGAGUCUAUACAGCCAUGCCAGCAGCCUAGUCCAAAGACGUUUACAUCCUGGAAGAGAACUUGCUGGCUUUUCACCUCAGCAUGUAUGGGCCAAACUAAUAUAACAAGAAGUCUUGAGAGGAGUCAGCGGCCAAGCUCCAUGUCUUGCAGCCAAACAAUGCUGUGGGAUGGAAGGUGGGAUGUCAUGUGUCUGGUUUACAGCACUCACGUAUCAGUUGGCAGUUAACGGAAGUGCUACUGAUUGGUGAUAUGCCUACUCCCCCUUCACCUUCGAUCAUGAUUGUAAACUUCGUGAGGACAUCACCAAAGGCUGACAUUGGCAACAUGCUUCCUGUACAAUCUGCAGAACAACGAUGGAACAAAAUAAACACCUUUUCUUUAUAAAUUACCCGGCUUCAUGUAUUCCUUCAUAACAAUGCAAAGCAGCCUAAUACAAAUUGUCAGUGAGUAGGCAGAUUUUCAGAAUGUAUGGCUAAUUGGAAUUUCCAUGGUCCUAUAUGAGAAGAGAUUUGAAGUAAUUCCAUAGAAUGUUAUGAGCGCCCUGGGAGAAGAAAAAGGGUGAUUUUUCAGAAGGAAAAGAGUGUAAGAAAAACAUGAAAUUCAAUUUUCCAAUGACAGUUCUG
rnacentral:lncRNA from 1 species